GGUUGACUUCGGAUCUAGGUAU
rnacentral:rRNA from 1 species